rnacentral:rRNA from 1 species
GAUGAACGCUGGCGGCGUGCCUAAUACAUGCAAGUCGAGCGAACGGACGAGAAGCUUGCUUCUCUGAUGUUAGCGGCGGACGGGUGAGUAACACGUGGAUAACCUACCUAUAAGACUGGGAUAACUUCGGGAAACCGGAGCUAAUACCGGAUAAUAUUUUGAACCGCAUGGUUCAAAAGUGAAAGACGGUCUUGCUGUCACUUAUAGAUGGAUCCGCGCUGCAUUAGCGAGUUGGUAAGGUAACGGCUUACCAAGGCAACGAUGCAUAGCCGACCUGAGAGGAUGAUCGGCCACACUGGAACUGGGACACGGUCCAGACUCCUACGGGAGGCAGCAGUAGGGAAUCUUCCGCAAUGGGCGAAAGCCUGACGGAGCAACGCCGCGUGAGUGAUGAAGGUCUUCGGAUCGUAAAACUCUGUUAUUAGGGAAGAACAUAUGUGUAAGUAACUGUGCACAUCUUGACGGUACCUAAUCAGAAAGCCACGGCUAACUACGUG